rnacentral:rRNA from 1 species
GAUGAACGCUGGCGGCGUGCCUAAUACAUGCAAGUCGAGCGAACAGACGAGGAGCUUGCUCCUCUGACGUUAGCGGCGGACGGGUGAGUAACACGUGGAUAACCUACCUAUAAGACUGGGAUAACUUCGGGAAACCGGAGCUAAUACCGGAUAACAUGUUGAACCGCAUGGUUCAACAGUGAAAGACGGUCUUGCUGUCACUUAUAGAUGGAUCCGCGCCGCACUAGCUAGUUGGUAAGGUAACGGCUUACCAAGGCAACGAUGCGUAGCCGACCUGAGAGGGUGAUCGGCCACACUGGAACUGAGACACGGUCCAGACUCCUACGGGAGGCAGCAGUAGGGAAUCUUCCGCAAUGGGCGAAAGCCUGACGGAGCAACGCCGCGUGAGUGAAGAAGGUCUUCGGAUCGUAAAACUCUGUUAUUAGGGAAGAACAAAUGUGUAAGUAACUAUGCACGUCUUGACGGUACCUAAUCAGAAAGCCACGGCUAACUACGUG